rnacentral:misc_RNA from 1 species
AGCAGCCACGGUAAUUCCAGCUCCAAUAGCGUAUAUUAAAGUUGUUGCAGUUAAAAGCUCGUAGUUGAAUUUCGGGGUUAGUAGGUUGGUCAUGCCUCUGGUAUGUACUGGUCUCACUGAUUCCUCCUUCCUGAUGAACCGUAAUGCCAUUAAUUUGGUGUUGCGGGGAAUUUGGACUGUUACUUUGAAAAAUUGAGUGUUUAAAGCAAGCUAACGCUUGAAUACAUUAGCAUGGAAUAAUGAAAUAGGACGUUCGAUCCUAUUUUGUUGGUUUCUAGGAUUGACGUAAUGAUUAAUAGGGAUAGUUGGGGGCAUUAGUAUUCAAUUGUCAGAGGUGAAAUUCUUGGAUUUAUUGAAGACUAACUACUGCGAAAGCAUUUGCCAAGGAUGUUUUCAUUAAUCAAGAACGAAAGUUAGGGAUCGAAGACGAUCAGAUACCGUCGUAGUCUUAACCAUAAACUAUGCCGACUAGGGAUCGGAUGAUGUUAAUUUUUAAUGACUCAUUCGGCGUUCUUAACC